UUAAAAAGACGAGGGAAAACGUGAGUGAAGAUUUGUUUUUCGGGUGUAAAAUAACAAAUUGUGGAUGACGAGGAAAAUCCGUAAAACGAUCUUGCAGGAAAUCACGCACAGAACGAGCAGUAUGGCUGGUGGCAUUUUCAUGCUGAAGGGUCAUGCCAGGAUGAGCCUGCAGGAAGGAUACCAAACGAGGGAGGAAGAUGUCUUCCCUGUAACGCACAGCGUUGAGAUUGCCUGCAUUGAUGACAAGCUCAGUCCGAUGAUGUUGUGACAUACCGCCCCAGACCAUGACAGACCCUGCACCUCCAAAUCGAUCCCACUCCACAGUACAGGCCUCGGUGUAACGCUCAUUCCUACGACGAUAAACGCGAAUCUGACCAUCACCCCUGGUGAGACAAAUCCGCGACUUGUCAGUGAAGAGCACUCUUUGCCGGUCCUGUUUGGUCCAGCGGCGGUGGGUUUGUGCCCAUAGGUGACAUUGUUGCCAAUGACGUCUGGUGAGGACCUGCCUUACAACAGGUCUACAAACCCUCCCUCUAGCCUCUCUCAGCCAAUUGUACCUGUCCCGCAGGUGUGCUGUUCUGAUGUACCGAUCCUGUGCAUGUGUUGGUCUCAAAUAAUAAUAAUAAUCACAGGAAAAAAUGUCAACCCGCCAACCCGGACAGGAAUGUCAUGUCAGUGACUCAACCCACUCAAGUGAUGCACCCCUCCUAGGGACGGCAUGGAAGAGCACCAGUAAGCCAGUGACUCAGCCCCUGUAAUAGGGUUAGAGGCAGAGAAUCCCAGUGGAGAGAGGGAGGCCGGCCAGGCAGAGACGGCAAGGGCGGUUCGUUGCUCCAGGGCCUUUCCGUUCACCUUCACACCCCUGGGCCAGACUACACUCAAUCAUAGGACCUACUGAAGACCUACUAAACAUUUAAAAGGUUGAGACUGAGUCUGCGUCUCUCACAUGGGUAGGCAGACCAUUCCAUAAAAAUUGAGUUCUAUAGGAGAAAGCCCUGCCUCCAGCUGUUUGCUUAGACAUUCUAGAAGGCCUGUGUCUUGUGACCCGUUGCGUACGUGUAGGUAUGUACUGCAGGACCAAAUCGGAAAGUUAUGUAGGAGCAAGCCCACGUAAUGCUUUGUAGGUUUGCAGUAAAAUUUUGAAAUCAGCCCGUGCCUUAACAGGAAGCCAGUAUAAAGAGGCUAGCACUGGAGUAAUAUGAUCACAUUUUUUGGUUGUACCGGGUAGCCGGAGAGUAGAGCAUCGCAGUAGUCUAACCUAGAAGUGACAAAAACGUGGAUUCAUUUUUCUGCAUAAUUUUUGAACCAAAAGUUUCUGAUUUUUGCAAGGUUACGUAGAUGAUGUUCUCUUGAUAAAUGCGUUAAUUGGACCCUUUUCUUGCACUGCUAAGCAUUCAAAAUGUAAUGCAUAAUUUUGGGUGUCAGGGAAAAUGUAUGGAGUAAUUUUCUUAUUUUCUUUAGGAAUUAAGUGAAGUAAAAGUUGUCAAAAAGAUAAAUAGUAAAGUACAGAUACCCCAAAAAAUGACAGACCAUGGCCCAGAUUAACAAAACACUUCUUAGGAAGUUCAAAAGAUAGUUUAAGUGCAAUUCCUCAACAAUAUCUUAACAUUUAAUGCUUUUCUUACGAACUUCUAAAAUAUCUUUUCACUAAUUUCUUAACUAUCUUAAGAUUCGCUAGGCAACCGACAGUUGAAGUCGGAAGUUUACAUACACUUAGGUUGGAGUCAUUAAAACUUGUUUUCAACCACUCCACACAUUUCUUGUUAACAAACUAUAGUUUUGGCAAGUUGGUUAGGACAUCUACUUUGUGAAUGACACAAGUACAUUUUCCAACAAUGGUUUACAGAUGGUUUCACUUAUAAUUCACUGUAUUACAAUUCCAGUGGGUCAGAAGUUUACAUACACUAAGUUGACUGUGCCUUUAAACAGCUUGGAAAAUUCCAGAAAGUGAUGUUAUGGCUGUAGAAGCUUCUGAUAGGCUAAUUGACGUGUACCCGUGUACCUGUGAGGAGGUGAACCUGUGGAUGUAUUUCAAUUGCCUACCUUCAAACUCAGUGCCUCUUUGCAUGACAUCGGGGAAGCCAAACCUGGAAAAAAGCCAUAGGUCUAUUACAACCUAUACUACCGGUCAAAGGUUUUAGAACAUCUACUCAUUCAAAUGUUUUUCUUUAUUUUUACUAUUUGUAGAAUAAUAGUGACGACAUCACUAUUACAGCAAGGAAGAAGCCACUGCUCCAAAACCGCCAUAAAAAAAAGCUACGGUUUGCAACUGCACAUGGGGAUAAAGAUCGUACUUUUUGGAGAAAUGUCCUCUGGUCUGAUGAAACAAAAAUAUAACUGUUUGGUCAUGAUGACCAUCGUUAUGUUUGGAGGAAAAAGGGGGAGGCUUGCAAGCCGAAGAACACCAUCCCAACUGUGAAGCAAGGGGGUGACAGCAUCAUGUUGUGGGGGUGCUUUGCUGCAGGAUGGACUGGUGCACUUCUCAAAAUAGAUGGCAUCACGAGGAAGGACAAUUAUGUUUAUAUAUUGAAGCAACAUCUCAAGACAUCAGUCAGGAAGUUAAAGCUUGGUAGUUAAUGGGUCUUCCAAAUGGACAAUGACACCAAGAAUACUUCAAAAGUUGUGGCAAAAUGGCUUAAGGACAACAAAGUAAAGGUAUUGGAGUGGCCAUCACAAAGCCCUGACCUCAAUCCCAUAGAAAAUUUGUGGGCAGAACCGAAAAAAACAUGUGUGAGCAAGGAGGCCUACAAACCUGUCUCAGUUUCACCAGCUCUGUCAGGAGGAAUGGGCCAAAAUUCACCCAACUUAUUGUGGGAAGCUUGUGGAAGGCUACCUGAAACGUUUGACCCAAGUUAAACAAUUUAAAGGCAAUGCUACCACAUAUUGAGUGUAUGUAAACUUCUGACCCACUGGUAAUGUGAUGAAGGAAAUAAAAUCUGAAAUAAAUCAUUCUCUACUAUUAUUCUGACAUUUCACAUUCUUAAAAUAAAGUGGUGAUCCUAACUAACCUAAAAGGGAAUUAUUACUGGGAUUAAAUGUCAGGAAUUGUAAAAAACUGAGUUUAAAUGUAUUUGGCUAAGAUGUAUGUAAACUUCUGACUUCAACUCUAUCUAGCUAGUAAUGGCAAUCAUGUUAGCAUAUUUCAUACUGAGACACCUUGUUGGCUUUCAAAUAAUCAAUACUUAACCUUUCAGAGGAAGUUUGAGUGAAUUAAACAUGUUCAAUUGUUUUCAUUAGCUUCUUCUCCCACUGCCCUGAGUUGUAAGACAGGGGUUUAGCUAUCUUGGAAUUAAGAACAAAUCCAAUAAUUGUAUCGUCAAGAAUAUAAUUUCUUCACAACUUUUUAAGGAGAAACAUAAAUAACGCAAGAACAUUUCCAAUAACCUUUUUGAGGAAUAGCACAUUUGCUUUACUUUGUUCAUAAGUCGAAACUUCAGAAGACAUUUCCUCUUAAGGUUUUGUUGAUCUGGGCCCAGAGACUUGGAUAUGCAGUUUUGCUAACUUUUAUUAGUCCUUUAAUUAAGCAUUAAAUGGCAAGGCGGGAUUUUUAUAGCGCACGGGGCUGUAGGCCAGAAGGCCACCGUGGACAAGAGUACGGGGUGGAAAGAUCUUCGAUAGUAAAAGCAUUGCAUGAAUCUAGCAUCGUAUUUGUUGCUCUGAAAAAAAAAUAAUGCAAUUCUAUGUCAUUUUACAUGUUAGCAGAAUCCUUUUUUAAAAAUAUCACACAAUUAACCGAAAUUACAGGCUAAGAAUGGACAGAAAUAGGCCUGUGUUUAUCUUAUCAUAUUUCUCCAAUGCCAAAUCCAUGUGUCUUGUUUGCAAUGAAACUGCCCGUUUGCAAUGAAUUACAUCUGAGACGUCAUUAGGAAUCUUGAGCAUGGUACUUCCAAAAGUUAGGCUUACCUUUCCACCCCAGCUUCAACUACUUUAACUCACACAUGUUUCCCUAAAAGAUACCUGGGUUUAAACAUGUUCUAUUGAACAGAAAGUGAAUAGCUAAAUCAAGUGAUAGUAACAUAAUUGGAUUACUUCCCAAGCAAAGGCAGUCCCUGAAUGUGAAAUAACCCGAAACAAUGACAUCCCCAUAUGCAUCAGUCACGUUUUAACAGGGUAUUUUACCACUUGUUUCUAGCAUCAAGCAUCGCGGACCAAAGCUCUGUUAUAGAUCAUUUGAUAUAAUCGGAUCAGUUGUAUUUUCUUCAAAAUAUCUAAUACAAUUUUAUUGGCAGCAUAGACAUUUAGCAGAUGUUAUUGCGGGUGGAGCGAAAUGCUUGUGUGCCUAGCUCCAACAGUGUAGUACUAUCUAACAAUACACACGUAUACAAGUAAAAUAAUGUAAUUAAGAAAUGUAGAAAUAUUAGGACGAGCAAUGUCGGUGUCGGGAAUAUAUACAAUACCAGUCAAAAGUUUGGACAUACCUACUCAUUCAAGGGUUUUUCUUAAUUUUUUACUAUUUUCUACAUUGCAGAAUAAUAGUGAAGACAUCAAAACUAUGAAAUAACACAUGGAAUCAUGUAGUAGCCGCCCUUUGCCUUGAUGACAGCUUUGCACACUCUUGGCAUUCACUCAACCAGCUUCAUGAGGCAUGCCAAUUGCACUCUCCCUCAAUCUGUGACAUUGACAACUGCAAAUAGAGUGGCCAUUUAUUGUCUCCAAGCACAAGGUGCAACUGUGUAAUGAUCAUGCUGUUUAAUCAGCUUCUUGAUAAUCCAUCCACAGAUGUGGCCUAUCUUGACAAAUGAGAAAAUGCUUACUAAUUGGGAUGUAAAAACCAAUUUGUGCACAAAAUUGUAAGAAAUUAGCUUUUUGUGCGAAUGGAAAAGUUCUGGGAUCUUUUAUUUCAGCUCAUGAAACCCGCACUUAACAUGUUGCCUUUUAUAUUUUUGUUCAGUGUAUUUAUUCAUAGUAGUACACAGGGACUGGUCUCUAAAUGACCUUCUCUGCUGCUUCAAAUGACUCAAACCAAUCCCUUACAAUGCAGGGGCAGUGCGUGGGUAAAAUCAUUGGGAAGCCAAACCAGAAAAAGCCACUACCAGUCAAAAGUUUUAGAACACCUACCCUAUUCAAGGGUUUUUCUUUAUUUUCUACUAUUUUCUACAUUGUAGAAUAAUAGUGAAGACAUCAACACUAUUAAAUAACACAUAUGGAAUCAUGUGGUAACCAAAAAGUGUUAAACAAAUCUAAAUAUUUUCUAUUUGAGUUUCUUUAAAUAGCAACCCUUUGCCUUGAUGACAGCUUUGCACACUCUUGGCAUUCUCUCAACCAGCGUCAUGAGGUAGUCACCUGGAAUGCAUUGCAAUUAACAGAUGUGCCUUGUUAAAAGUUCAUUUGUGGAAUUUCUUUCCUUAAUGUGUUUGAGCCAAUCAGUGGUGUAGGGGUGGUAUACGGAAGAUAACCCUAUUUGGUUAAAGACCAAGUCCAAUUUAUGGCAAGAACAGUUUAAAAAAGCAAAGAGGAACAACGGUCCAUUACUUUAAGACAUGAAAGUCAGUCAAUCUGGAACAUUUCAAGAACUUUGAAAGUUUCUACAAGUGCAGUCACAAAAACCAUGAAACACUAUGAUGAAACUGGCUCCCAUGAGGACCGCCAAAGGAAAGGAAGACCCAUAAUUACCUCUGCUGCAGAGGAUUACUUCAUUAGAGUUACCAGCCUCAGAUUACAGACCAAAUAAAUGCUUCACAGAGUUCAAGUAACAGACACAUCUCAACAUCAACUGUUCAGAGGAGACUGUGUGAAUCAGGCCUUCAUGGUCAAAUUGCUGCAGAGAAACUACUACUAAAAGACACCAAUAAGAAGAGCCUUGCUUUGGUCAAGAAACACAAGCAAUGGACAUUAGACCGGUGGAAAUCUGUCCAAAUGUAAGAUUUUUGGUUCCAACUGCCGUGUCUUUGUGAAACGCAGUGUAGGUGAACAGAUGAUCGCAGAGUGAAGGAAAAGCAGCCAACUCCUUCAAGACUGUUGGAAAAGCAUUCCAGGGGAAACUGGUUGAGUGUGCAAAGCUGUCAUCAAGGCAAAGGCUACUUUGAAGAAUCGAAAAAUCUAUUUUGAUUUGUUAAAAAAAAAAAAAGAGUUACUAUGUGAUUCCAUGUGGGUUAUUUCAUAGUUUUGAUGUCUUCACUAUUAUUCUACAAUGUAUAAAAUUGUAUAAAAUAAAUCAAAAACAUUGAAUGCGUAGGUGUGUCCAAACUUUUGACUGGUAUGCGUGUGCAUAAGUACGAUCAUUUUAUUUGGAUACAGCAAAUAGUGUCUUAUAAGCGCAAUCUUAUAAUCAAUAUGGUAAAAUUCCACUUAGACUAUCAAGGCAAUAUGAAGUUACUGCUUAUGGAUUUUGUCCCAGAGCAGACAGUUCCACCUUCCUCCACAGGGUGGCACUGUGCACCAUGUGUAUGCAUGCGCUAUUUUACUCUCCGCCAGGACCCUAAAUCUAGCACACUUUCUUCUUUUUUUUAAACGACACAAUCUCUCUAAAAGCACACACACAGCAUCUCUCAGACAAUGACUCAUGAAUAAUUCAAAGGCUCUUAGAUGUAACUGUUAUUUUAUUUCGGUGGAUAAAUUCCCAGUUUUCCUCUUCAGAGUGUUUGUGAGAAGAUGAUGGGAACUCAUUGCCAUGAACCUCGACUUUGUGUGUGUGUGUGUAAAUGCCUGUGCCUAGUUCUUUUAUUUACGAAAAGACACCAUGGGACUUAUUAGACAUGUAUGGAUGCCUGUUAUUCUAACGCUGCAGAAUCUGAGCCAUUAUGGUUGUAUUUUUACUCUAAUCAUUGGUAUGCAAAGCUUCACUACUCAAACAAGUUUGAGAAUGCUGGUAGUGUUCAGUCAUUUCACAGAGGAGAAGGCUCAGUCAGAAACCCAAAUAAAGACAAUAUUGACCAAUAA